UCAUCUUUCACUCUCUCUAUCUCACUAAAUGCAAGACUACACUCACAACUUUCUCUCUCCCUAAGAUCUUGACAUAAUUAAUGUGGGUUCAAGCAAAUUAAUAGCAAAAUCAUUUUUUAUAUCAUCAUUCCUUCGACAUACCAAAAAUUCAAAGUUCAAGGUGCAAGAAAACUCUUCAACUAGGUCCAAUUCAGGUUUGACUUCUUGUGGAGCUUUUGAUCAGUCUUCUCUUUGAAUUACGGUCAAUCCAACGGACAUUGCAACUGCUGGAGGAGCAUAAAGAGCAAGUAGCUCAGCUUGCAGAGCAAUUACUUGAUAAAGAAGUACUGUACCAAGAAGAUAUUAUUGUGGAUGCAGACUAUAAUACUUUAGUCGUCUAUUGGAAAUAAACAUUUGGUUUCUCAUGUUCUUCUAUCUAUAGUUAAUAGUUUUUUUGUAAUGUAAUGCGGCUUUAAUUUUAAUGAUUUCAAUUCAAAUACCAUUGUUUUGUGCAA